UCCGGAAGGAUCAUUA
rnacentral:rRNA from 1 species